AUGAUACUAAAGCUCUCUGCUCUCUAUUUCUUCAGAGGUAGCCAAGUGCUGCAACCUGUUUUUCUGGGAAGAUGGGAAAUGAGAACAGCUUGUUUGGGGAUACUUGCAAAGAUCUCUGUUUCUAAAAGGCACCCAGAAGGUGGGGGAGUGGGAGGUUUACUUACUUACGUGUUGCUUACUCAGAUUGGUGCAAAGUUACUUCUUGUAAAGACACUUUUUUUCCUAUCAAUGCUCAGUUAAUGUAAAUGAUGUCUAGUAUUUGGCCUUGGUGGUGGUCUGUUGUUUAAAGAAAUGUCCAUGCCUGCAUGUGUAGUUAGGGUUUAGUAGUUAAUACUUCAAGAAGCCCUGAGGGACUUUGCCUGCUGCCUUCAGUGCCCUGGCAAGGUUUGAUGUUGCAGGUCUGUCCACCUGCCCUUACACACCUUGCUAGAGCACUGGCAUUCAUUUCAGCUGGCUUAGUUAAAGGGAUAUGAAAUGUUUCAUCUUUUCUUCUGACAUGGCUUAGUGUCCUUUCCAAAGCAUUUCUGGUCGCUGCUGGCUCAGGAGAAAGGCAGUGUCACUUUGCCCUGUCUUCCAGAGGAGUUUUCUGAGAGCUGGUCCAUAAAUUCAUCAAAACAGGAACCUUCAAGGCUGGAUGGUGCAGCCUUCUAAGGGGGAGAGCUGAAGGCAUGCUCUGAGAACAUGCAUCUCUCUGUGGCUUCCGCAUACCAGAAAUCAAGCAAAAUCUCAUUGUGGCUUGGUAUUGGGGCUUUUUGGUUUUGUUUUGUGUAUAUAGAUAGAAAUGUACAGAGUCCCAGGACCAGCAAUUUGAAGUGUGAAAAACAGGAAGCCUGACUAGGUUCAGGUCAGGAGAACCCUGGUGUGGGGGCAAGAGGCCAUGGCAAACAGAUGCUGGGCAGGCUCUGGAUGAGCAGAACUUCUCCAGGCUGCCGUGCCUGUGUCUCUGCCUGCGCCAUCACAGACUGGAGCUGUCACGGAUGCUCCUCUGUGCUCCUCUGCCCGUAUCAAGCCAAAAAACCUCCCCCACCUCACUUCCCCUGUGCUGGAGCAAAGGGGAUUUCAGACUCUUCAGCAGAAGUAAUUGCUCUGCACCAGCUACUUCUGAGCCCCUGCAGAGUGCAAGUGUUUGUUUCCCUUCCUGGGUUUAGCUGUAAUAGCUGUAAAAACCAGAAUUGAAUGGUUUUGGGGUUGUUGUGUUUUUUCCCUUGCACGUUUUCCUGUAAUUAUGAGGUGGGAGUGUGUUUUGCCGUGAAAUUUUCUAGUUGCAGAGUGCUCAGCAGAUACUACUAUUUUGGAGAAGGAAAAAAAAAAGGGGAGGAGGUGAGUUUUGACGCAUGGAUGAUAUUUGAAAAUUACUAUUUACCGAAGCUUAAUUCCCUGGCUGGUGGUUGAGUAUUAGAAUUGACUGUGAACAACCGUGGCAUUUAAACUGAGCAGGGCUGCUGCACAGGGCUGGGUGGCCUGAGAUCUCUGUCUGUCAGGAGCUGCUGUUGCCACACUACAGUGUGGGCUGUAGUGGGCACCUCUCCUUAAAGUUUUGAAACUCACUUUGCAAAUUUUGAACUUCACUGGAAUAACAGGAAACUCAUUAAGCCUUUACUGUGCAUUUGCGAUUUAACAGAAUCCUUUGAGUUUUGCCUGAACCUGACAGUGUUUGACUAAUGCAAAAGAGUUGUCACUGUGGCAGUCUGUGAAGGCUUGCAGAGAGAGGAAACACUUUUUUUUGGCACAGGGGGAGCGGACAGGCUUUUGGUCCUCCCCACCUUCUGCAUGGCAAGCUGCAAAUGCUGCUGCUGCUCUUCCAAGGGCUUGUAGCUCUGAGAGCAGUUCUGCAGCUUUUUAAAAAAAAUUGUCAUGACCUCUGAGGAUAGUGGUGUGAAAUCAACGUUUUCGAGCCUCCGCCUUAGCUCAGUUGAUUUGAAGUCCAAAUUUCAGAGCCCGGGAGCCUGGCAGGUGGUGGCAGGGAUGGAUGUUUCCUGUAGCUUCGCAGAAAACAGAUGUUUUCAAGGCAAUUGCAGAGACGUCAAGGCAAGAAAAAGCAGAAUUGAGAAUCACUGACCUAAGGUUAUUGUAUUUACAGUAAAAAGAGCCAGGUGUUUCCAUUGCCACUCUAUGAAUCACUUGCUGCAAUGUAAAGGCCUGUCCUGCCAUGCUGUGUCCUCAUGGCGCGGUGGUGCUGUGCAGGCUGGGCUCUGCCGAAACCUGGAGCAGGGAGGAGGAGGCGAUGUGGAGCUGUGUGACCCUGUGAGCCGAGUCACUGCACUGUCACCGUGUCGGGCUGACCCGGGGCCUGCGGGCGAGCCCAAGGCAUCUCCUUUCCCGCUGUGACUCCCUUGUGGGUCAUCCUUUCCUUGAGAAAGGACGCGAAAAGGGAGCUCAUCGUGAACGAUUUUUCCCUUCUGCAGCCUCGUUAAACAGGACUCGGUGCAGAGUGAGCCGGGCUUGGGGACCCCCUGAGGGAGCUGAGGCCGGGGCGAGCCGCGGCGCUCCUGGCACGGGAGGUGAUGGCGCAGGAGCAGCUGGAAGCACCUGCUGGGAUGCAGCCCCCCAUCCCUGGAGGGGAUUCUGCCGGUCGGCCCUGUGCCACUGCCAGCCUGCUGCUCCUGCCCGGGCGUCCUCCAUUCAGGACUGGGCACUGUGUGGCCACGUUUCCUGCCCUGCCCUCCCUGCCGGGCACAGCCCUGCGGGGGGAAUUCGGGGGCAGCAGCGGCAGCACAAAGCGGGUCCCGGGCCCCCACAGCGCUGCCGGCUCGGCUGCUGAGCACUGCCACGCUGCCAGAUUCUUCCUCUUAUUUAUUUCUCUUCCUCUCUCCCCUCUUCCCUUUUCUGUAAAACCGUUCUGUGCUUCUCGGCUGGAUUGGAGCAGGGUCACGGCCCCCCACGGCAAAGCCCAGCCCCCCUCCCAGGCACAGCUGUGCGUCCGGAGCCAGUGCCAAGGGGUGGCACGGGAAAAGCACGGCCUGCAGUGCCAAGAGGGAGCGUAGUAAAAGCACAGCAGAAGGCACGGGAAAAAAAUGGUUCAGAAAAAGAAAACUGGAAUUGCCACAGAAGAAGGUUUUAGUUUCUUUUGCCUUUUCUGUCUGCUUUAACUUUUCAGAUUGAGGUAAGUGAACGAGCAAGUUGGACCAAGAGCCAGUGGUCUGCCUACAGCAGGAUGCUGCUCUCUGUGUGGCACAAGUCGGAGCAGCAUUUGGAUCAGAGCUUUCACCUCGUGCUUUCUCCUUGCUUUUCCAAGUGAGCUGCACAAGAGAUCAAUGUGAGUGGUAACAUUCCCAGUGGUGUGACUACAUCUCCUAGAACCAGGCAGACUGCAGGACUGCAAGAGGACAUCGACUUGCAGAAGCCUGUCAGUGUAUUUAAAUUCUGAGCUAUUCUAUUAUUGUAGCACAAUGGGCUUUUUCUGGUCAUAAUGAAAAAACCAGUCAAUUAUUCAUGGGAGAAAUAAAGACUAUUCUGCCUGUUGUUUUCAAAGA